rnacentral:tRNA from 1 species
GCAGGGGUAGCCAAGCCUGGCCAACGGCGUAGGAUUCAGGGUCCUAUCCUUAGUGGUUCGGGGGUUCAAAUCCCUUCCCCUGCA